rnacentral:rRNA from 1 species
AUUGAACGCUGGCGGCAUGCUUUACACAUGCAAGUCGAACGGCAGCACGGACUUCGGUCUGGUGGCGAGUGGCGAACGGGUGAGUAAUACAUCGGAACGUACCCAGUAAUGGGGGAUAACUAUCCGAAAGGAUAGCUAAUACCGCAUACGCCCUACGGGGGAAAGAGGGGGAUCGCAAGACCUCUUGUUAUUGGAGCGGCCGAUUGCUGAUUAGCUAGUUGGUAGGGUAAAGGCCUACCAAGGCAACGAUCAGUAGCGGGUCUUAGAGGACGAUCCGCCACACUGGAACUGAGACACGGUCCAGACUCCUACGGGAGGCAGCAGUGGGGAAUCUUGGACAAUGGGCGCAAGCCUGAUCCAGCAAUGCCGCGUGCGUGAAGAAGGCCUUCGGGUUGUAAAGCGCUUUUGUCAGGGAGCAAAUCCUUGUGGCUAAUACCCACCGGGGAUGAGAGUACCUGAAGAAUAAGGACCGGCUAACUACGUGCCAGCCGCCGCUGUAAUAC